rfam:Cricetulus griseus cell line CHO-K1, whole genome shotgun sequence.
GCCCGGCUAGCUCAGUUGGUAGAGCAUGAGACUCUUAAUCUCAGGGUCGUGGGUUCAUGCCCCAUGUUGAGUG